rnacentral:lncRNA from 1 species
ACGGCUCCCCUCAGAACUCGGCCCGUCGAGGGAGCUGAGAGCAGCUCCACUGGCCCGACCCCGCGGGAUGAGAAGACAGCUUGGCUCCCCGCAGGGGCCGUCGGAAAAUACCCCUGGGGUUGGUCUGCGACCAUGACGAGCGACCCUAUUGGCCCAAUACCGGGAAGCGAGGCGGAGCUUCCUCUUCUCCGAGCCCCACCUGGGCUUUCAGCCCGCCUCAGGACUGUGCGCCUGCGCGAAGUGCACUGGCUGUGAGCUGGACCUGGGCUGUCUUGUGUAUUUGGAGUUGGACAGCCAACUACGUGACUGCAGCCGGGACUGGGGACGAUGGAAGCGGACUGGGUAGUACCUGUUGAGCCUAACAAAGGGUACAACCCCAGAGUACUGGUGCUUGAGCAAGGAAUCCCCCUGCUCACCUUUCAUGUGCAAGUCCUGUUUGAAAAUCAGUACUUCACAGUGUAAUAAAAUUCACCUGGCAUUUACUGAGGGCGCACGGUGUGUCAGGGAUUGUGAUGGUUC